AUUUCCAAGCUCACAGUCCAUAGAUACAGGGCGCUCGCGUUGAAUGCAAUGGAGACCACCCGUCUAGACCCUGAAACUCUGCAACCCCAGAAGCCUUGCGAUCAGAUUACAGACCCCAGCAUUUUCAGAGUAAAAGUACGAUUAUAUUAGGGGCGGGGGAGGGGGAAUCAAAGUUUGGUGACCGCACUUCAUUGUUGAAAAGAAAACCGAUGCAAAGACUCCAGCACGAGUAAACGAUUUCUGAAGUGUAUGCUAGAGCAGAGCGUUGCUAUCAACUUAGGUACGUUCUAAUUUUCCUCCAGGUGCUGUAAACGUACCUUUGCAAAUAUUAUUGCUCUAAUUAGAAGGAAACUAUUCCACAUACGGUUAAAACGAGGCCGGCAGAAGUGUGCUUCAUUUCCGAACUUGACCCCUUAACCUGCACCUCAAGCUCAUUUUUAUUGCUACCCACUGAGCCCUGCUCUCCACGCACCGGUUGCACCAGCCCUGCCGACCCGUACGUUCGCGGUCUCCGCUGGGAUGGCUGGAAAGGAAGCGAGAAAGUCACGGAAGAACUUACCUGAAACGAUCCCAUUCGACAGGAACCCCAGCUGGUAAAGGAGGCAGCAGCAGCAGAUGAGUUUCCGAGGCCGAGCAGGCUAGUGCUGGAGCCCCACAAGACAGACCCACAGCCAGCCGAGAGCCGGGAGUGCUGCCUCUGGACAGGCAGAGGACUGCCCGGCGCGGGCAGGAGAGCUGUGGUGUCCGAGCCGAGGCUCGCCGCCUGCACCCGCGCGGAACGGGCGGAGGCUGGUGUCACAGUCUCAGCAACUUGGUGUGCCAAGCUCCGCACACUCCUCACGCUCCUUAGGACGCACCGCUGAAGGCUCUCACCCGCAGCGGCGCGGGAGGGAAUGAGUAGGGAGAUGGGAAGACACGACUAGAGAGGUGGGUUGUAGAGCAGAAAAGAAUCAAGCACAUCUGACCAGAAAAAGGGACCAAGGGGUGCCCGCCAAGCGUGACUUUGCGGGACAAAGGUCCCAGAACACCGUGCACGUGCUCAAACGCCGGUUGGGAUGGGGUGGGGACCCAAAAUCCCUCACCUGACUAUUGAUUGGCCACUCGGGAAGGCCUGAUUUGCAUCCAUCCCCUGCCCCCGUGUGCAGGUAGAGGUGCCUCCCCCUUCCCAUCCCACUCCUCAAUCCAGCGCCUCUUUUUGUCAAAUUCGCACAUCACACAAGGCAAAAAUUAGUGCAGACUUGACCACAAAACUGAGGCCUCAUUUAUCAAAGGCCUUUGAUUUGUCUUCCCAUCUUUUUCGGAAUUUUCUAAGCCCGGAGAUAAUGUAAUUCGUCAUGGAAUAUGCUUUAAAGUUUCCCAGGACAGUAGGCACCCUUAGGUUUCAGAGCCUCUUUUCCUUCCUUGUCUUUCUAGCUCCCCAUUCAUCAGUACUAUCAGUUUCUCUCCUUCCCCUACCCCACCCCAUUACACACACACACACACACACACACACACACACACACACACGAGUCCUAAAAGGAGUAAGAGUAAGGGAAUCAACAUUAAACAUUAUAUUCUAAAGAUCUCAGACCAGGUGAGAUUAUUUUGUCUUCUGUACUUUUUACUUGUACAUAAAAAAAUAUGUUUUUGCUGUUUCUGUCCUCUUUGGGGCAAUUCAACCCCAUAUAUUUUUUUUUCCUUUGUUGCAAUUCUCUUCAUGGUACCUACUCCCCUUUCCACAACUCUCCCUCAGCCACAUCAAAGCGUUCACAUCCGAUUUAAGGAUGAUUGAUCUGAACUGCCAUUUGCAUCCUCUGGACUAGGCCAGACACCUAGAAAUGAUAAUUAAUGCAAAUCAGUUUUUUUUUUUUUUAAUUCCAGAACUGAGGUUGGUUCACCACUUCCUUUGUUAUUUUACCUUCUGUUCCUUGUGUCAAAGGUGACUACUAUGCCUUUAAGGGAAGCAGACGAUCUUAUUUCAAAGGAAAGCCAUUGUUUGAAUUAGCUGAGUCCUAUAAUACUUUCUUUGAGUUGUCCAGAGUUUAGAAACAAAGGCAAAAACACUCAAGGUGACUUUGUCAAGAGUGAUCUGCCUCUAAACGCUGUCUUAUAAAAUCUCUAAUGCUGGAGUAACUAACAUGUGGGUUUCCAGAUGCUCAAGAAAUAUCUGGGUUACUUAGAAACCUAAAUGCUUUUUUUCAUGAGACUCAAUUUUACAGAUUUAAAGCUAGGCAAAAAAUCAGAGGCAGUUUAUUUUUUGAGUAUAGCAAGCUAUUUAGAUUGAAAGCUAAUUUCAAUGAAACACCUCCAGUAGGAGAUGAGUCUUAACACGUUUCUCACACAUAUUUUAACAACAACAACAAAAAGCAGAACUGAAGGAAUAAUGCAUAUUAAAUUGUAUAUAUUUAUUAGAGUACAUUCAUGAUUUUUUAAAACCAAAUGAGUUGUAUAACUAAGUUAAAUAUACUCAGAAGCACAGCUUACCAAUGUAAGUUUGCAUUGCUGCCUUUUUUUCCCACUAAUAUAUAAUCUUUACCAAUCCUUCAUGGUAAAGGUUAAUAUUGUUAUGGAAAGAUUUGUCUAAUUCCCAGAUAACUCUUCUCUUUUUUCCCUUUUGAAAUACUGUUAUAAUUUAUUUACAUAUUUUAGAGACAUUUAUAAGUCAUUUGGGUUUUAAUGACUUAUGUACUUAUUUCUCCUACUAGACUAUCAAUGUUUUUGAAAGGUAGGAAUGAUUUCUUUUAUAUAUCACCCUGACUAAUUCAAGGAUUUACACUGAAUAGGUUCAGAAAUUAUCAGGAAAUUCUCUCCAAGGUGCUUUAGAAAGUGAUAGAAAUUGAUUUGUCUAUGGUAUUUUGUUCCAAUUUGAAUUCCUUGAUCAGGAGUUGCAACACUAACUCUGCUGGUGAUUAGCAACUAUCAACAUGACUUAUCUGGUUUACAGAAGGAACAGGCCUAAGAGAGAAAUGUGUGGGGAAUUUUUGUGCUCUAGGAGAGACUUAGAUAUGCAAGUGAGAGCGUCCGUUAAAGUGAAUUCAAGUACCUAUGUAUAUAAAAGAAAGAACUAGCCUAAUUUGGAAUUGAGUAAACUGUGUGUGGUGAAAUAGAGAAGAAAAGGCAGGACUGAGGCAUGUGUGUGCAUUACCAACCUUAGAGGAAAGAAAAGAGCAGCUGGGAAAAAUAUGUUGGUAAGACAGAUCACUAUAUAUGUCACCAGAUGGUAGCUAGCACCAAUAGAGCACUGCUUUUGUGUUCUCAGAAUAAGGACAGAAGGAGAAGAGGUAAAUGACAAAGCAUCAGAGUAAGUGGAAUCAACUGUUUUGGUGCUGAUAUUGCCAUUUAUAAUCCAGGCUUCUCCAUAUAGAAAGUUGGCCUUGAUGCUGUCAAAUCUCCCUUAUUCUCUUCACUCACUGGUACUAAGCCCCUCACAACCUAAUCUUACCCUAGGUUAAAAUUAACCUAAGCUAAUCUUAAAUCCACCCGCCCUCCCCCAACCAAAUUCUUAAAAUCUUGAGAAAAUACAAAGAACCCUUUCACUGAGUUCCAUGAAGAUACCAACUCCCAGUAGAACUCACAUCUAAAUUGACAUCAAGUCCUAAGCUAGUUCUGGCCAUAAUGGAAUUACAGGGACCAUAGUUAACUCUCACCUUAGGAAAUUAGAAAACAUAAUAAAAGUUUUUAGACAUUGGACAACAGGCAGCCUAGGGUUAUGACUUAGGAGAGAAGAGAAGUAAAUGAAUUGAUCACUACAAUUUCCCCAGCUUACAACCUGGAGGCAGUUUCAGGACUUAACACAGAGAGAAGAAAGCCAAACAGAGCCCUGAAGACAAGCUGAGUUGAGGAGGCAGAGAAGGAGGCUAGAAUUUAUAGGGCAGAGUAUCAGAAAGGAGGGAACUACACAGAGAGUGAAUCAGUUAUCUAUUGCUACAUAACAACCUUAGCAGUUUAAAACAACAAACAAUUUAUCAUCUGACAUAGUUUCUGAGAGUCAGGAAUCGAAGCCUGGAUAAGCCCAGGUAUUUCUGAUUAAGGCUGUCUCUCAAGUUUGCAGUCAAACUCUUGGCCAGAGCUAUAAUUUCAGCAGACUUAACUGGAAGAAGAGGUUCUGCUUUCAAACUCACUUGGUUAUUGACAGGAAGCUCAGCAUCUUGCUACACAGGUUUUCCCAUAGGGGCUGCUCAUUACAUGCAUUCCCCCAGAACAAGUGAUCUGAGAGAGAGAGCACCCAAAAUAUAGCCAUGGUCUUUUUAAACCUAAUCUUGAAAGUGACAUACCACCACUUCUAUCAUAUUCUCAUCAUAAAAAACAAGUCACUAAGUCCAGCCAACAUUCAAAUGGGGAAAUAUCAAAGAAUUUGUGGACAUAUUUUUAAAACCAUCAUUGUCUGCCUUGACCAUAAAUUACUAGAGAACUUCAAAAAGUAUGUGGAAAAUGGAAGUAAAAGGCAAAAAUAAAAAAAAUAUAAACUUUAUUUCUCAACAUAAGCUCCAUCAAGUUCAAGACACUUUUGUAAGCCAUGAUACUAGCCUCUUACCCCAUCCCUGAAGAACUGAAAGCUGUGGGGUAUUUACCCAUGUCAAUGCAGUCUUUUUUACAUUAUUAACUGAAGGAAAUUGAAUGCCUUUUGAAGAUUAAGGUUAGAAAAUAAAGUCAGAAGAAGCCAAAUCAGGACUUGUAAGGUGGAUACCUAAUGAUUUCUCAUCAAAACUCUCACAAAAUUGCCCUUGUUUGAUGAGAGGACUGAGCAGGAGCAUUGUCAUUUGGAGAAGGACUCUGGUGAAGCUUUCCCAGAGAUUUUCUGCUAAAGCUUUAGCUAGCUUUCUCAAAGUACCCUUAUAAUAAGCAGAUGUUAUUAUUCUUUGGCCCUCCAGAAAGUCAACAAGCAAAAUUCCUUGAGCAUCUCAAAAACUGUUGCCAUGACCUUUGCUCUUAAUUGGUCUGCUUUUGCUUUGAAUGGACCACUUCCCCCUCUUGGUAGCCAUUGCUUUGAUUGUGCUUUGUCUUCAGGAUUUUACUGGGGAAGCCACAUUCCAUUUCCUUUUGCAAUUCAUCAAAGAAAUGCUUCAGUGUUUUGGUACCACUGAUUUAAAAUUUCCAUUGAAAGCCCUGCUAUUGUUUGUAGCUGAGCUGGGUGCAAUGGUUUUGGCAGCCAUCAGGUGGAAAGUUUGAUCAAUUUUAAUUUGUUUGGUCAGGAUAAUGUAAAUUGAACCAAUUGAGAUGUCUCUAAUAUUCGCUAUGACAAAGAGAGGAAGGGAGAAUUCUGGAUGUUUUCUGGAAGAACUUUGAAUUAAUUGUCUAUGUUCUGAUUUCUACAUGUAUGUGAAGAAACCACCUACAGCAUAGGGUGAGUGGUGGGACGGGGAGGCAUAAAGCGUUAAAGGCCAAAGAAUACUCCAAAUGUGAUGAGUUCCAACUGGCUAGAGUGGAAGGUCAUCAUAAUACAAGGGGUACUAGAUAAUGUUCUUAGAAAAGCAUCUGCUUAGUAAUAAAAUUAAAUUAGCCUUGUAAUUAAGGUUUCAUGUGGGCCUAUCUCAACAAGGCUUAAAAGAUAGCUGCAAAAUGGUUCAUCUGUUUCCUAGUAAUUUAAUUUCCUGCUAGAACAAGGUCCAUUUUACUUAAUAAUUAUUAUUAUAUAUAUAGAUAUAUACUUUUUCAUUUAGACAGGGUCUCACUUCAUUGCCCAGGCUGGAGUGCAGUGGCUCAAUCAUGGCUCACUGCAAUCUUGACCUCCUGGGCUUAAGCAGUCCCUUCACCUCAGCAUCCUGAGUAGCUGGGACUACAGGCAUACACCACCAUGCCUGAUUAAUUUUUGUAUUUUUGGUAGAGAUGGAGUUUUGCCAUGUUGCCCAGGUCGGUCUCAAACUCCUGGACUCAAGCAAUCCACCUGUCUCAGCCUCCCAAAGGGCUAGGGUACAGGCAUGCGACACCGCACUUGGCUAGGAAUAAUAAUAUUUUAAAACAACAACAACAACAAUGUAAAGUUUUCAUUCUCUGGAAAUCCAAUUAUAAAUUCCAAGCAUGGGAAAAAAAUGACUCAUAACAAGGAGAAAAGUCACUUAGUAAAAACAGAUCCAGACAUGACAGAAGUAAUAAAAUAAGCCAACAAAAACAUUAAACAGCUAUUACAGAUAUGCUGUAAAUGUAUAUGAAGAUAGAGGAAAGCAUGAACCUGAUCAAGAGUGACAUAAAAAGACCCAAUUUGAAAUUAUAGAGAUGGAAAAUACAAUAUUUUACAUGAAAAAUGUACUGGGUGGUAUUGACAGCAGAUUAGAUACUGCCAAAAAAAGUAUCUGUGAACUUGAAGACAUAGCAAAAGAAACUAACUAUCCAAAGUGAAGCACAGAAAGAAAAAGAUAAGAGUUGACUUGAGUGUUGGUGAACUGUGGGAUAAUAACGAGAUAUCUAAUAUAUAAGUACUUGGAGUUUUAGAAGAAGAGGAGAAAUGGAAAUGGGAAGAGAAACUAUUUGAAAAAAUAAUGGCUGAAAAUUUUCCAAAUUUGAUGAAAACUAUAAUGUAUACAUGCAAGCAUAACAUACUUAAUAAAACUUUGCCAAGGCAUAUCUUAAGCAAAUUGCUAAAAACAGAAAGGAAAUAGAAAAUGUGAAAAGCAGCCAGAGGAAAAAGACAGAUUAUCUAUAGAAACAAAGUUAAGAAUGACAGCAAACUUCUCCUCAAAACUUAUGCAAACAAGAAGACAUAUACAGUCAUGUACCUCAUAUAAGCAUAUUUUAGUCAACAGCAGAACACAUAUAUGACAGUGGUCCCAUAAUAUUAUAUCAUAUUUUUAAUUCACCUUUCUCUGUAGGUAUGUUUAGAUAAACAAAUACUUAGGAUUAUUUUACAAUUGCCUACAGCGUUUAGUAUAGUAAUAUGCUGUACAGGUUUAUAGCAAAGGAGAUAUAGGCUAUACCAUACAGCCUAAGUGUGUCAUAGAAUACAUCAUGUAGGUUUGUAUAAGAACACUCUAUGAUGUUUAAACAGCAAUUAAAUUACCUAAUGAUGCAUUUCUCAAAAUGUAUCCUCUGCUGGGUGCCAUGACUCAUCCCUGUAAUCCCAGCAAUUUGAGAGGCCAAGAUGGGUGGAUCACCUGAGGUCAGGAGUUCAAGACCAGCCUGGCCAACAUGGUGAAACCACGUCUCUACUAAAAAUAUAAAAAAUUAGCCAGACAUGGUGGCGGGUGCCUGUAAUUCCAGCUACUUGGGAGGUGGAGGCAGGAGAAUCGCUUGAACCUAGGAGGCAGAGCUUUCGGUGAGCUGACAUCACGCCAUUGCACUCCAGCCUGGACAACAAGAGCCAAACUUCAUUUCAAAAAAUAAAUAAAUAAAAAUGUAAUUUUUCAUCAAUAAGUGUUGCAUGACUGUAUGUAGAUAUUCUCAAUAAAAUCCUUUAACAGAUACAUAGUUUGUAAAUAUUUUGUCCUAGUUUGUAGCUUGCCCUUUAUUUACUAAAUGAUAUCUUAAAGAGCAAAAGUUUUUAAUUUUGAUGAAGUCCAAUUUAUUAAUUUGUCCUUUAUAGAAUGUCUUUCUGGUUUUCUAAGAAGUGUUUCCUAAGCCAAGAUCAAAUCCUUUUCUCCUACUUUUUUUCUAGAUCUAAAAUUUUUACUCUUAAUUUUAGGACUAUUAUCCAUUUUGACCUAAUUUUGAUAAAUGAGGUAGGAUAAGCAUCAAGGUUCAUAUUUUUGUAUAUAGAUAGCCAACAUUAUUAGUAACUAGGACAAUGCACGUUAAGUGCAAAUUGAACCCACAAGGAGACAACACUACACACCUAUUAGAGUGAAUAAAAAUUAUCUACAUUACCAAAUGUUUGCAAGGGUGUGGAACACCUGAAACUCUCAUGCAUUGUUCAUGUGAAAGCAUUAGCAUAGACACUUUGGAAAACAGUUUGACAGAUUCUUAUGAUUCUUAAAUAUACAUUUACCCAACAACUCACCAACACAAUUCCUAGAUAUUUACCCAAGAAAAAUUAAUGUAGGUAUACACAAGACUUUCAUGUGAAUUUUAUGUCAGCUUUAUUUAUAAUGGCCCCAAACUAAAAACCUAUAUGUCAAUCAACUGAUGAAUAGAUAGACAAAUUGUAGUAGAUUGCAGAACAUAAGUCAGCAAUGAAAAGAAAAGAACCAUUGAUGCAUGCAAAAAUGGAUGAAUUGCAAAAGCAUUAUUCUAAGUGAAAGAAGCUUCCCUUUAUAUGAAAGUGGAGAAAAGAUAAUACUGAAGUAAUUAAAGCAGUUCAGUCCCAGGAGCUAGGGAUGGUCUUGGGGGCAAAGAGGGAAAAGGGCUAUGAGGGAACUAUUUUAGGUGAUAAAAAUCUUCUUUAUCACAAUUAAGGUACUCAUUACACAACUGUAUAUAUUUUUCACAAAUCAUUCAAAUAGUACACUUCACAAUGGUUAAAUGUUUUGUAUAUAAAUUAUAUCUCGAUGACUCUAUUUACAGAAAGACUUAAGCUAAAUAUGUGACACUCUCAGUGUUUCAUUUUUAGCCAUUAGUGACUAAAUGUUAAGGGAAUAGGGACCUUCCUCAAGAUUCCACAGGUAAGUGAGAGUCACUAUCAUCCACCCAAAUGCUCGAACCAUGAACCUAAGAAGCCGUCCUUGACUCAUGCUUUUUUUUUUUUUUUUUUUUUUUUUGAGACGGAGUCUCACUCUGUUGCUUAGGCUGGAGUACAGUGGCGCAAUCUUGGCUCACUGCAACCUCCACCUCCUGGGUUCAAGCAAUUCUCUGCCUCAGCCUCCUGCGUAGCUGGGAUUACAGGUGCCCACCACCACACCAGGCUAAUUUUUGUAUUUUUAGUAAAGAUGGGGUUUCACCAUCUUGGCCGGGCUUGUCUUAAACUCCUGACCUCAGGUGAUCCACCUGCUUUGGCCUCCCAAAGUGCUGGGAUUACAGGCGUGAGCCACUGCACCCGGCCAACUCAUGCAUCUUUUUAUCACUCACAUCCAACCAGUCAAGUCAUGGGUUUUUUUUUUUUUUUUUUUUUUUUAAGUUCUGGGAUUCAUGUGUGGAAUGUGUAGGUUUGUUACUUAGGUUUACGUGUGCCAUUGUGGUUUGCUGCACCUAUCAACCCAUCAUCUAGGGUUUAAGCUCCGCAUGCAUUAGAUAUUUUUCCUAAUGCUCUCCCCUUGCCCCCCAACCCACAACUGGCCCGAUGUGAAUUGUUCCCCUCCCUGUGUCCGUGUGUUCUCUUUUUCUUUUCUUUAGCUCCUAAAUUCCUCACCUCUCUCUAGUGCUUCUAGCACUAAGCUGAUGCAGUCAUCUUUCCGUGGUACCACUGCAACACUUUGUUAACCUUUCUCCUGCUUCCACUUUGCUCUACCACAUUCCAAUCUUUACUCUGUGGCCACAGUGAUCAUUUAAAAUGAAAAUAAUAUCCUCUGAUUAAAAUCCUCCUUAUUCUUCACAUACCUUUCUUCUUCGCAAGCAUCAGAAGUACCAAGUUAGGUCUCAUUGCUGCUUUAUGUCAUUAUAGCACGUGGUGUUUCUAUUCAGUCUUCACUGAUAUAGCAUCUAUUUAUAUUAGGCUGGUGCAAAUGGCACCAAAUGGCAAAAACUGCAAUUACAUUUGCACCAACCUAAUAAUUGUCAUUUCAAUAUAUGACUUUGUCCUACCCCCUCACCAUCCCAAAAUUCUGCUCCCUAGAUGCAAUCACUGUUUUGUGCCUUCCAGACUAUUAUGAAAGAAAAAUGUAUUGACGAGUGUCAGCAUAAUAAUAUAUGACACACAAAAUUAAAAGAUAGAAAUAUAUAUAGGCUUCCCUCUCUUUUGCCUUCUAAUGGACAUGUUAAAUCCCCCCUGCUCAGCACCUGGGCCAAGUAAUGGGUGAAAAGAAUGAAAGCUGGUCUUUCAAAUCCUAUUAGUAUGAAGAGCAAUAUUUUUAAAUGAAAAUAAAAAAACUGGGAAGGAAGGAAAAAGAACAAGAAAGAAAAUAGUCUGUGAAAACUGAGUUUUGAGAGUUUUAUUGAAAUUUUCGAGAAAGUAAUACAAAAUGUUGUAGGGGCAACCUCUAUGCAGUGAUAAAAGGGCUUUGGAAAAAGUGAUAAAUAAAAGAGAUUAUUACAAAGUUUUGUUAUGAGUUAUGCAUAUAUGCAUUUAAGGCAUAUGAAAUUUAUUUCUAUUCUUAUUGGGACAGGAGGAGGCAUGUGGGACUUGUGUUUUAUUUCUGAGCGUAGCACAUGGCUGUCUCAGGUUUGUUUGGGUUACAUAUAAAACUCAAUAUAGGAAUUUGUUCUGCCUAAAUAGGUAUUUAAGAUCCUCUCAAUAGUAAAAGAGGUCAAGAUUAAAAAUCUAAAAAUGAGAAUCCCCAACCUUCAAAACAAUAAAGUAUGUUAUUCUCAAAGCAGUAAAGUAUGUUAUAAUAAAGUUCUCUGGCUUUAUGAAAAUAUAAGGCCAUAUUUUAGGCCUUUCCACAUACCACUUAGAUCUUAUAUACAGGAAUUUCAUUGCUACUGAAAGUUUCACUCAUAAUUUACACAGAACCGUUGAGACUCCAAUUCCAAGAUUAAGAAAUACUGAUCCAGGGCCAAGAGCUCCCUGCUUGGACUUUUCCAUUGCAUUCCUUUGAGCUGCAUCCCACUGAGUACCAAUGAUCAUCACUAUAAUGAUCAUUACCUGAAGACUUAAAAUCACUGUGUCUGACACAAAUCUUAAGCUUCUUGCAUUAUACAAUGUGAUACCUUUCUCCCAGUUAGCAAGAUGCUUAAUUCCAACACUAUUUGUAGUGUCAAGUCUUAGAAGGAAUGCCCUCAUUUGCUAAAUAAUCAAUAAAUGUUUAUUGGAUAAUUGAAUGACUGAAACUAAAGACAAUGCCAUCCAUAUCCAUGUCACUGUUUUCCCAGAGGUAAGAGGUUGACUCACAUGAGACUGAUAUAGGCCUUUUUUGUUUACAGUUCUAUGAUUAUUUCAGGUAUUCAAAAUGUGUAUGUGUGUGUGUAAGAGACAGAGAAAGAAACAGAGACAGAGAGAGACAGAAGGGUGAGUAAAAAUGGUUAUCAGAAUUAUUCUUAGACAAAAAGGGGUCCAUUGGCAAAGAAAAAAAGUUUGAACAGUACUCCCUUUAUUUGUUGACUAGAGAUGGGAAGGUAACCAUUAGCAUGAAAUGAAAAUAGAAUUUAAAGUCGAUAGGAUAUUGUGACAUUUGAUUUGUUAAGGUUUUGGCUGACCACUAUUUGACCUCUUUUCUCAUUAUGUGAAUCCCACAGAUGAGAAUUAUGGGAAUCCCCUUCCCAUGUUAUGUAUUAUAGGAAUCCCACAGGUAAGAAUUGUGCUGGUUUGGGGUGGUAAAUGGGGAUUGAUUUCCACUAGAGUAUUAUAAUAGUCUAGGUUUUCAUUCUCAUUAUCUACUGGGGUACAGGUUUAUGACCUCAGCUAAUAGAAUGUCCAUAGGUGGCAAAUCUGAAACAAGUAACACAAAGGUAAGAGCACUUUAGAUUUCCUCUCAACAGAAUUGUCCAGGGAUUGUGGUGGUGAUGGUGCCAGUAGUUUGUUUAGUAUCCUGAGACAAUGCACCAGCAUCUUCACCAGCUGUUCCAGCGGCAGGGGCUUGGCUAUAAUGACAGCUUCCUGUGGUUUCUCCUUGUUUCACAGCUUGGUUUUUUUUAGCCUUCCAUCAAUUCUUUAAUCUACACAAUGACGUCAUUCCAUUAAACUGUUUUUUGCCAAGGUGAGCCGGAAUCCAGUUCUGUUGCUACAAGUAAGAACCAUGACUUAGACAAGUUAGUAUCGGGGAGCAGGUUGCAGUCAAAGGGACCACAGAAAAAUCCAGGGAGUUGUAUGUAGUUAGAGUUGGAGGCCAAGAAUAUUGUUUAUAUUUAUUACUGAGAAUCUGUCAGUCCAUGACACAUCAUGACAAAGAUUUUCUUUAAAUUAUUGUCUGCGAUCUCCUGGAAUUAAAUAAUGCACUGAAAGCAGAAUUAUCUGCAACCAUAUAUUUGCCAUAUAGAAUAUAAGAAUUUUGGGGUCGGGUAUCUACUUCUAAUGGCCUUACAAAAGGCCAAUGAGAGGCCCAAAUUUCAAAGUUAUCAGCUUAAAGCGCGUGCUGAAACUCACGGGCUUUCUAUGAGUGGACUAAAUAAUCUCUAACUUCCAUUCAGUUCAGAACUUCCUUGGUGUAUUGGUGAAGAAAAAAAUCAAAGGCCAGGAGAUUGCGAUGCUAGAGAGCAUUGAUCAUAUGAAAUUUAUGACUCUCAAGAAGGUCUAGAAACUACUCCUUUCUCCAAGGCCUUGAGAAAUGACAGGAGUUGAUGAGAGGCUUAUCAGCAUAUUUAAAAAUACACUAGUGGCUCCUCUUUGAGGCUGCCAGUGCUGAUAUGGGAUGCAGUUGAAAUGGUCUCCCUGACUCCAAUGUGGCAAUUAAAAUCCUGGGUGACAUAGCGGCACUUAAUCUCAGAGGCAAAGUAGAUUUGUUACUGGCAAGAUAAUCCAAAUGGCCUGACCCACAGAGAUUUGGGUGGUUGCUAAUAUAUCAUAGGCUUGUUAGAGGCAAAAUGAACAGGCAGCUUCCUAGAGCCACCUAUUUUUUCUGGGUUAAAAAAACAUAAAAACAAAACAGAACAAGAAAACAAAAAUAUCCUCUAGGUCUGACCACCCAUUAUAAGAGAAGAUAAUCGUUUUAUUACUGAAUUCUCAAGCCUGGCUCAGUCAGAUAGUCCACAGGCCCUUGAAUGAAGGAAAACCUGGACGGCCCUGAGAAGACCUGAUGAUAAUAUUUUGCUGAAUGCGUACUAUGAAUAGAAAUACUAUGGAAUUGGAAGAUCAGGAGUUUUCCUGACAUAUAAGUUUGCAGGUACCUGC
rnacentral:lncRNA from 1 species